GCUAACGCAUUAAGCACUCCGCCUGGGGAGUACGGUCGCAAGACUGAAACUCAAAGGAAUUGACGGGGGCCCGCACAAGCGGUGGAGCAUGUGGUUUAAUUCGAAGCAACGCGAAGAACCUUACCAGGUCUUGACAUCCUCUGACAACCCUAGAGAUAGGGCUUUCCCCUUCGGGGGACAGAGUGACAGGUGGUGCAUGGUUGUCGUCAGCUCGUGUCGUGAGAUGUUGGGUUAAGUCCCGCAACGAGCGCAACCCUUGAUCUUAGUUGCCAGCAUUCAGUUGGGCACUCUAAGAUGACUGCCGGUGACAAACCGGAGGAAGGUGGGGAUGACGUCAAAUCAUCAUGCCCCUUAUGACCUGGGCUACACACGUGCUACAAUGGACGGUACAAAGGGCUGCAAGACCGCGAGGUUUAGCCAAUCCCAUAAAACCGUUCUCAGUUCGGAUUGUAGGCUGCAACUCGCCUACAUGAAGCUGGAAUCGCUAGUAAUCGCGGAUCA
rnacentral:rRNA from 1 species